UGGGGAAUAUUGGACAAUGGGGGCAACCCUGAUCCAGCCAUGCCGCGUGUGUGAAGAAGGCCUUCGGGUUGUAAAGCACUUUCAGUGAGGAAGAAGGCCUGCGGGUUAAUAGCCGGCAGGAAGGACAUCACUCACAGAAGAAGCACCGGCUAACUCCGUGCCAGCAGCCGCGGUAAUACGGAGGGUGCGAGCGUUAAUCGGAAUUACUGGGCGUAAAGCGCGCGUAGGUGGCUUGAUAAGCCGGUUGUGAAAGCCCCGGGCUCAACCUGGGAACGGCAUCCGGAACUGUCAGGCUAGAGUGCAGGAGAGGAAGGUAGAAUUCCCGGUGUAGCGGUGAAAUGCGUAGAGAUCGGGAGGAAUACCAGUGGCGAAGGCGGCCUUCUGGACUGACACUGACACUGAGGUGCGAAAGCGUGGGUAGCAAACAGG
rnacentral:rRNA from 1 species